GGGGUUGUAGCUCAGUGGUAGAGCACUUGCCUAGCAUAUAUGAGGCACUGGGUUCAAUCCUCAGCACCACA
rnacentral:tRNA from 1 species